UACGUAGGUGACAAGCGUUGUCCGGAUUUACUGGGCGUAAAGAGCGCGCAGGCGGUCGUUCAAGUCGAGUGUGAAAGCCCCCGGCUCAACUGGGGAGGGUCAUUCGAUACUGAUCGACUCGAAGGCAGGAGAGGGUAGUGGAAUUCCCGGUGUAGUGGUGAAAUGCGUAGAUAUCGGGAGGAACACCAGCGGCGAAGGCGACUACCUGGCCUGUUCUUGACGCUGAGGCGCGAAAGCUAGGGGAACAAACGGG
rnacentral:rRNA from 1 species